UGAAGGAUGUGUGUGAGCAGUCAGUCAGCAGGAGCAGCUAAAUGCUAAUGCUAACACUACACUGACCAGAGGAGGACCAGAGCAGUCUCUACAGCUACUCUUCAGACCAACCACACUUUCCAGCGGACUGUCCUAAUGAUGCUUCUCCCGUGUCUCAGCAAAGUGCCAGUCCCUUGGCUCCAGCACCAGUUGGCCUUGGAUGGACAAGUUACACCUAAAUGACCACUGAUGACCAAUUAUUUCUCUGAAUGCUACUGAUUUCCGUUUAAAAGAAGGAAGGACUGCUGAAGGACUGCUGGUCUCAAGAUUUACGUCUGCAGUGACGCUCCACCUCCCAGGAUGGGCACGGGCCUUUCUGGCUUCUAGAAGAGGAUACCCUUAGCAGAGUCUGGGAUCCUCUAGGAAUUACGAUAAGUGAACACUUUAUAAAACACUUGUUUAGUCUUUAGUUUAUAAUAACUCUCUAAAGUGUCUUUAAAGUGUCUUUAGAGAAGUGGGGAUGUGACAGGUCUCUAAGGCAGUUCAAAGAACACAAGCUUGGUUCCAGAUGCUUCCAGCCAUUACACCCACCACCAUUGCUCACAUCCACCAGCCGCUGCACACCUGAUUUAACUUAAAGAAUCAUUAAUAUACAAAUACUACACAUAAUAAAAUGCUGACACAUGGAAACUGACAUGCAUUAAAUCCCUUUUUUGUGCUCAACCCACUUUUUAAAUACAUACAUUUGGGGUUACCUUGCACAAUUAUAAAAAAUAAUAAAAAUAAAUAAAACAAAAUAGAAAAUUUAAACAAAUGAAGGAACCACUGAUCAAAGUAAUGUCUUGGUAGUAAAUAUAUAUUUUUUUAGCAUUUGGCAUUUUAAACACUUGCUGUUAUAUCAGCAUUCAUCAGUACUUAUUGGACCAAUAUAUACUAAAUUAGCACAUUUAAUGUCUACUAUAGUCCAAUUUCAAAGCACUGGAAAGAUGCAAAGCUCACAUGGGUUGCCAGGUUGAGAACACUGAACCUACACAAACCUGCACAAGACGAGUUCAAAUGUUGGCAGGGGCAGCAUAUAAUCUCAUUCACAGCUAGUUCAUCAGUUUAUGGAUAUGAAGUAAGUCAAUAUGAAAUCAAAUGUUGGUUUCUAUCGUAUAUUUCUGUCAAGCUGGAUGCAACCAAGGUAGUA